rnacentral:snRNA from 1 species
AUACUUACCUGGUGCCGGGGCCUUGUUAAUCACCGAGGAUGAGCCCCAUGGGCAAUCGCGGGAUUUUGCACUGCACUUGCCCUUCACCCCUGCGACUACCCCAAAAUUGGGGAACAUAGGGCAUGCAAACUGC